rnacentral:rRNA from 1 species
UUUGGAAUUUUGGACAAUGGGCGAAAGCCUGAUCCAGCGACGCCGCGUGGAGGAUGAAGAUCUUCGGAUUGUAAACUCCUUUUGGCAGGGAACAAUAUUUUGAGCGUACCUGCAGAAUAAGAGGUUGCUAACUCUGUGCCAGCAGCAGCGGUAAUACAGAGACCUCAAGCGUUAUCCGGAAUCAUUGGGCGUAAAGCGUACCGAUCGGUGGUUGACAAAGUCAGAAGUGAAAUCUCUCAGCUUAACUGGGAGACUGUCUUUUGAUACUUGUCAGCUCGAGGGGCAAAGAGGAAGCUGGAACAAACGGUGUAGUAGUGAAAUGCGUUGAUAUCGUUUGGAACACCAAUAGCGAAGGCAGGCUUCUGGGUGCCACCUGACACUGCUAGGACGAGAGCGUGGGGAGCGAUAAGG